AGGAUGAGUCUGAGGUUGCAAUCCAGCAGAAAUCAUUAAUAGUACACAAUUCAGAAGAGGGUGCCAUAGUUUAUAAGCAGCCGUCAGGUGUACCCCAGUCAGAGGAGGGACAGAACAGUCUUCCUAUCAGGUAAAAGUACCAGAUUCUGAGAUACAAGCAUAGUAAAGAUAGAAUUUUUCCUUUCACAUGUCUCGAAGGUACCUCUUGAGGAAGUAAACUCAAAAUAGUGUGU
rnacentral:lncRNA from 1 species